CAGCAGACUACAGACCAAGAAGUCAGAAGUGAAGCCUUUAGUUUAUGUGGUGUUCGCACUGUUCCCAGUUACGAAGAGUUAUAGUUAGAGUAAGAUUGUGUUACAACUAAUUGUGGUUCGUGAAAGCGGGUGGCAAGUUGAGAAAUUGGCUGACCGGAAUAGUUCUUACAUACUGUGACGUCUUUACUGAUACAUACCCACAUGUAACAAGAAUGGAGAUGGUGCAAUCCAUAACAUUCUCAUAGUUCACAAACUUUCCAAAGAGUUCCUUGAAGUUCAUUGCAUUUUCUCUACAUAUUCUUAGCUUAAGGUGGAGGAGAGCCAACUGAGGCUUUUCCCACAUCGGGACCGAGAGCGUCUGACGGCCCAACUCAUUCUUGACGUUGUGGAACUUCACAUGGGAUCUCUAGGCCACUUGGAGCUCACAUGCCUCUCCACGAUCCCAGGAUUCCUAGGACCAGAGCAGAGCGAGUAUGCCGACAGGAAGACGAGUUCAGUAACGGUGAACAUUGAAGUGCCGCUAUCCAGUAGUCAUGCUGAAUCCUGCUGGACUGUCCUGCUCAUGGGAUCUUUAUUCAUCCUCCUCCGAUGAAAUUGUCAUCUACAGUGCAUCUUCAUCGUUCAUGAUCCAUUAUAACUUGCUGGUGACCGAAACAGUUUAGUACCCAUUGACCCAUGAAGAGAGAGACUGAAAUCUUUUUUCACCUCUGAGUUAGUAGGUACAUGUAAGAACAGGUAUGCACAAAGCCAAUUACUGUAAAUAUCUUGGACGUCAUCCAUCAUCUAGAUCAGUGUCUGUUGUCACAUCUCACUGGUGGGAUUUGGCAGUCAGCUGGGUGGAGCAUGAGGUCUCUAAAUAAUAUUUCAGUCACACAAAAUUCAGGUUUAUGAAGAGUGUUAUCUCUCUGGUUUCGAAUAUUUUUGUAUAACAUAUUUCUAAAACACAUGAAGGAGGUUACUCAGGAUUACUGCUAAUAAACUAUAUUGUUUGUAUAUAAUUACAACAAUAAAACGGAAGUUUUUACGUUUUUAAGUUCUUAAGAACUUCCAUUAAUGAUUAAUAUUACACUAAAAUGGACAUAACUGUAAUAGUACACUUCUUGGAAAAAGAGAAGCUUUGUUUUUUCUGUGGUAGAAAUGUGCUUUGUUGACAGAAUGGCCAAUGACACACAAGAUGCAUAAACAUGAGAAUCACUGGUCUAGAGGUUUUUCUGAACACCACUUUUGGAAAAAAAAUAAUCUUUCAUUUUGGUCUCAGGAGAGGUCCAGUGACUGAGAUUAGUUGUCUCUAACUGAUCCUUUCAAUAUUUCAGAUGAUUUCUUGCUGAAGAUAGAAACAGAUUCAGCUCCCAAAGUUCUAAGAAGAGCAGUCUAGACAAUGGAUACAUUCCAAAAUAUUAAAACUGUGAUGUGUCUUGCGAAAAUAGAAACAACAAACCAAAGUCCUCAGAUACGUCAGUUCUUCGUCUCCCAGAUACUAUGAAUUGUCAUAAGUUGAAGGGGGCAAGAAAUGGUAUAGUGUUUGUUCUAAAAAUAAUGUACUUUAAACAGUUAUUUAUAGUCAGUUUUGUAAUACUCUUCUAUUAAACUCUUAAACUCUUCAGACAAACUCUGUUUGUAGCUCACUGAAUAGUUUACUGACACUGAAGCAUCUGCGUAUUUUAUGGUCCAUUUAAUUUACAUCAUAUCUUUAAGGUGAAUAUAUAAAGUAAAAAAAGUAAAGCUACCCAUGUAACAGGCCGUGAAGGCCCAUAGGGUUGUGAGACG